rnacentral:rRNA from 1 species
GCGGGUGCUAACGUCCGUCGUGAAGAGGGAAACAACCCAGACCGCCAGCUAAGGUCCCAAAGUCAUGGUUAAGUGGGAAACGAUGUGGGAAGGCCCAGACAGCCAGGAUGUUGGCUUAGAAGCAGCCAUCAUUUAAAGAAAGCGUAAUAGCUCACUGGUCGAGUCGGCCUGCGCGGAAGAUGUAACGGGGCUAAACCAUGCACCGAAGCUGCGGCAGCGACACUGUGUGUUGUUGGGUAGGGGAGCGUUCUGUAAGCCUGUGAAGGUGUGUCGUGAGGCAUGCUGGAGGUAUCAGAAGUGCGAAUGCUGACAUAAGUAACGAUAAAGCGGGUGAAAAGCCCGCUCGCCGGAAGACCAAGGGUUCCUGUCCAACGUUAAUCGGGGCAGGGUGAGUCGACCCCUAAGGCGAGGCCGAAAGGCGUAGUCGAUGGGAAACGGGUUAAUAUUCCCGUACUUGGUGUUACUGCGAAGGGGGGACGGAGAAGGCUAUGUUGGCCGGGCGACGGUUGUCCCGGUUUAAGCGUGUAGGUGUGUGUUCCAGGUAAAUCCGGUUCACUUUAACACUGAGGCGUGACGACGAGGCACUACGGUGCUGAAGCAACAAAUGCCCUGCUUCCAGGAAAAGCCUCUAAGCAUCAGGUAACAUCAAAUCGUACCCCAAACCGACACAGGUGGUCAGGUAGAGAAUACCAAGGCGCUUGAGAGAACUCGGGUGAAGGAACUAGGCAAAAUGGUGCCGUAACUUCGGGAGAAGGCACGCUGACACGUAGGUGAAGUGAUUUACUC